rnacentral:rRNA from 1 species
UAACGGCCUACCAAGGCGACGACGGGUAGCCGGCCUGAGAGGGCGACCGGCCACACUGGGACUGAGACACGGCCCAGACUCCUACGGGAGGCAGCAGUGGGGAAUAUUGCGCAAUGGGCGAAAGCCUGACGCAGCGACGCCGCGUGGGGGAUGAAGGCCUUCGGGUUGUAAACCCCUAUCGACUGGGAAGAUUAUGACGGUACCAGUGGAAGAAGCACCGCCUAACUCUGUGCCAGCAGCCGCGGUAAUACAGAGGGUGCGAGCGUUGUUCGGAAUUAUUGGGCGUAAAGGGCGCGUAGGAGGUAUUGUAAGUCACCUGUGAAACCUUUUGGCUUUUCCUAGAGCCUGCAGGCGAAACUGCAAUGCUGGAGGGUGGGAGAGGUGCGUGGAAUUCCCGGUGUAGCGGUGAAAUG